rnacentral:lncRNA from 1 species
AUGGAGACGGUGACAUGGCGGUUCUGGUUGGAGGCAGUGGUGGUUGAAGUUGUUGUUGGAGAUAGUGAAGUUGAUUGUUGUUGUGGAGGUUGAAGGUGGAGUGGUGGAGUGACGGUGUUAUUUUAACAAACCACAAGUACUAUCCGUGCAUUUUACUAUAAACUUUAGUAUAGAUAUACACUAAGGGGUGCCGGGGCACUCCGUUAUAGUAUAACGGAACCGAACUUCCACGCGUGAUGGGCCGCCGCCACUACAACUACAACGCGUUAAUGUUCCACGCGUUAAUCAUUUUCGUGAUGGUGACAACGCGUUAUGGUUUAUUUUUGUGAGGGUAUUUGUUGGUUGGGGGGAAAUUGUUGGGUGUGGUGGUGAGUGAUGACCACCCCCACUAAAAAUGGUUGUGAGUGAUGGAAAAAUGGUCAAUGACAUGGCGAAACUUGAUUGGUGCUUGUGAGUGAUAAAUUCUAUCACUAGUGAAACCACCCCUACUCCCCUAAAGAUGAGUCUAUAAAUAAAAGUAAGAAUGAAGGAAGACACCCACCACUGAUAAACUUGGUUUAGGGGUGAUUUUUCCAAUGUAAUUUUAUGUAGUGAGAGAUAACUAUAAACUUAAGAAAAUGGUUUACCUGCCUUUGGCGUCCAUCCCUUUUAACUGAGCGACUUCUAUAAGCGCUUUGUUCCAUCGAUCAAUUUUUUUAGCCAGUAGACUUCUUUUCUCAGUGUCCACUUCUGCCUCCAUUCUCUGUCUAUGUGCUGCCAUCGCAACUCCGAAGCUACGUUCUUGCUUCCUGACAUGAGUCGGCUCCACAUGAUAGAAGAUAGGGAUAACCAGUUGAUCCGCGGUCAAACGUUGCUCAAGGAUCAACACAAGUUCAUCAAGACACCAUGUUGAAGAAGCGUAAUUUGUGGACAGCACUAUAAUAGAAGACCUGGAUGAUUUAAUCGCCCACUCCAAUUCCGGUCGCAGGUCUUCUCCGGUCUCUAUCUCGUCAUCAUCCAAAAAGGUUUUGAGAUUAGCUUCCAGGAGGGCGUUGUGGAGGUGAUCAACGAAGCUGAGACGGGUAUCAACACCUCGAAAACUUAAAAAUACGUCAUAUGAUGAAGAUUCUUUGAGAAUUUCCAUUGUUAUGAAUCGCAACUGGGAAGCGAUGAGUGGGCUGAUAGAUGAAGGGUUUCAAUUAUUAUAAAUCCAGUGUUUUGUGGU